AAGAUUUUAAGUUAAAUAAACUAAAAACCUUCAAAGUUUUAAAUAAAAUAAUAAUUAAUUUUAAAUCUUA
rnacentral:tRNA from 1 species